GAUGAACGCUAGCGGCAGGCUUAAUACAUGCAAGUCGUGGGGCAGCAUGAAUGUAGCAAUACAUUUGAUGGCGACCGGCGAACGGGUGCGGAACACGUACACAACCUUCCUAUAAGUGGGGAAUAGCCCAGAGAAAUUUGGAUUAAUACCCCGUAACAUAACGAUGUGGCAUCACAUUGUUAUUAUAGCUUCGGCGCUUAUUGAUGGGUGUGCGGCUGAUUAGAUAGUUGGCGGGGUAACGGCCCACCAAGUCUACGAUCAGUAGCUGAUGUGAGAGCACGAUCAGCCACACGGGCACUGAGACACGGGCCCGACUCCUACGGGAGGCAGCAGUAAGGAAUAUUGGUCAAUGGACGCAAGUCUGAACCAGCCGUGCCGCGUGAAGGAUUAAGGUCCUCUGGAUUAUAAACUUCUUUUAUCUGGGACGAAAAAAGGCUUUUCUAAGUCACUUGACGGUACCAGAUGAAUAAGCACCGGCUAACUCCGUGCCAGCCGCCGCAGUAACAC
rnacentral:rRNA from 1 species